UUACCUACGGGGGGCCGCAGUAUUUCAUCUUUCUCCCUUUUUUCAACCCUUAAGCAGCAACGCCGCGUGGAGGAUGAAGGUUUUAGGAUCGUAAACUCCUUUUGUAAGAGAAGCUUAUGACGGUAUCUUACGAAUAAGCACCGGCUAACUCCGUGCCAGCAGCCGCGGUAAUACGGAGGGUGCAAGCGUUACUCGGAAUCACUGGGCGUAAAGAGCGCGUAGGCGGGUGGUCAAGUCAGAUGUGAAAUCCUGUAGCUUAACUACAGAGCUGCAUUUGAAACUGAUCAUCUAGAGUAUGGGAGAGG
rnacentral:rRNA from 1 species